CCUACGGGGGGCAGCAGUGGGGAAUAUUGGGCAAUGGGCGCAAGCCUGACCCAGCAACGCCGCGUGAAGGAUGAAGGCUCUCGGGUUGUAAACCUUCUUUUAGAGGGAAGAGCAGAAGACGGUACCUCUUGAAUAAGCCAUGGCUAACUACGUGCCAGCAGCCGCGGGCAUACGUAGGUGGCCAGCGUUGUCCGGAUUUAAUGGGUGUAAAGGGCGUGCAGCCGGGAAGACAAGUCAGAUGUGAAAUCCCGCGGCUCAACCGCGGAACUGCAUUUGAAACUGUUUUUCUUGAGUACCGGAGAGGUCAUCGGAAUUCGUUGUGUAGCGGUGAAAUGCAUAGAUAUAAGGAAGAACACCAGUGGCGAAGGCAGAUGACUGGACGGCAACUGACGGUGAGGCGCGAAAGCGUGGGGAGCAAACAGGAUUAGAUACCCCUGUAGUC
rnacentral:rRNA from 1 species